GACGAACGCUGGCGGCGUGCUUAACACAUGCAAGUCGAACGGAAAGGCCCUGCUUUUGUGGGGUGCUCGAGUGGCGAACGGGUAAGUAACACGUGAGUAACCUGCCCUUGACUUUGGGAUAACUUCAGGAAACUGGGGCUAAUACCGGAUAGGAGCUCCUGCUGCAUGGUGGGGGUUGGAAAGUUUCGGCGGUUGGGGAUGGACUCGCGGCUUAUCAGCUUGUUGGUGGGGUAGUGGCUUACCAAGGCUUUGACGGGUAGCCGGCCUGAGAGGGUGACCGGCCACAUUGGGACUGAGAUACGGCCCAGACUCCUACGGGAGGCAGCAGUGGGGAAUAUUGCACAAUGGGCGGAAGCCUGAUGCAGCAACGCCGCGUGCGGGAUGACGGCCUUCGGGUUGUAAACCGCUUUCGCCUGCGACGAAGCGUGAGUGACGGUAAUGGGUAAAGAAGCACCGGCUAACUACGUG
rnacentral:rRNA from 1 species